AUGUCGUCCAUGGCCGACGACGGCGAGCGGCUCGAGCUCCUCCACGGCGACCUCGACCUGACCAUCCACGAGGCGUGCGGCCUCCCCAACAUGGACAUCCUCUCAACCAUCCUCCGCCGACUCUGCAUCCGGCCCCGCCGCCUCCCCAGCCGCAACAUCGACGCCGACACCGACGCCGACAGCCCCGUCCGCCGCCGCCGCCGCCGCCAAAAGCCUCGCGGCCACCACAGCAUCGUCCCGACCUCCGACCCCUACGCCCUCGUCGCGGUGUCGCGGCCGGACGUCCCGGACACCACGAUCGCGCGCACCUACGUCGUCCGCAACUCCGAGGCCCCGGACUGGUCGGCGCGCAUACGCAUCCCCCUCGCGCACGAGGCCUCCCGCCUCGUCCUCCAGGUCAGGGACUCGGACCCCUUCGGCUCCGACCUCAUCGGAGCCGCCUACCUCCCGGCCGCCGCACUCCUCGAUGGCAAGCCCAUCGUGGACGCCUGGCUCCCACUGCUCCGCCCCGACGGCCGCGGCCCUCCGAAACCCAACUCCGCCAUCCGCGUCUCCCUCACCUUCACCCCCGCAUCGUCGUCGUCCUCCCGGCGCCACCGCUUCGGCGGCGUGCCGGCGUACUUCCCGGCGCGGCGUGGGUGCGAGCUGAAGCUGUACCAGGACGCGCACGUGCCGGUGGGUGCGCCGUGCUCGUACGAGCGCGGGCGGUGCUGGGAGGACGUGUGCAUGGCGGUGCUGGGGGCGCAGAAACUGGUGUACGUGGCGGGGUGGGCGGUGGGCGCGAGGGUGAGGCUGCUGCGGGAGGAGAUGUCGCCGGAGAUGGCGGAGAAGGCGGCGGAGGUGAGGGCGCUGGCCGGCGUUGAGGUGGAGAAGAUGGCGCUGGGGGAGCUGCUCAAGUACAAGUCGCAGGAGGGCGUCCGCGUCUGCCUCCUCGUCUCCGACCACCACGACACUCCCCUGCACCCCAGCUUCUUCCUAAACACGGGAGGCAUGAUGCAAACUAGUGGCGAAGACACGAAGAAGUUCUUCAAACAAUCAUCUGUGAUUUGUGUACUCUCGCAUCGCUACCCUAGAAGCAAAGUUGACAUGGCCAAGCAAAAGGUGGUGGGCACGCCGUACGCGCACAACCAGAAGUGCAUCCUCGUCGACACGCCGGCGUCCGAGGCCACCCGCCGGAUCACGGCCUUCCUAGGCGGCCUCGACCUCGCGGCCGGACGCUAUGACACGCCGGCCCACCGGCUCUUCGAGGACCUUGACACCGUCUUCCGGGGGGACAUCCACAACCCCACGCUCGGCGACGCCGCCGCGGAGAACGGGCCCCGUCUGCCGUGGCACGACAUGCACUGCCGCCUCGACGGCGCCGCCGCGUACGACGUCCUCAAGAACUUCGAGCAGCGGUGGCGGAGGGCGACAGCCAAGCACUUGAAGGCGUCCAAGCACGGGAAGGACGAUGCUCUGCUCAAGCUCCAGCGCAUCCCCUGGAUCCUCAGCCCGGUCGUGGCCGACGCCGAAGACGACGCCCUGCGCGUCCUGCCGGAGGAUGACCCCCGGUGCUGGCACGCGCAGGUGUUCCGUUCGGUGGACGCCGGGUCGGUGAAGGGGUUCCCGCGCUCCUGGGAGACGGAGGAGAUGGAGGCGCGGAACCUUCUCUGCGACAAGAGCCUGGCCGUGGAGCAGAGCAUCCACGCGGCGUACGUGGCGGCGAUCCGCGCCGCCGACCGGUUCGUGUACCUCGAGACCGAGCGCUUCGUGGGGUCGUCGUACGCGUGGCCGACGUCGUUCCGGCACCCGGGCGCCGGCAACCUGGUGCCGAUGGAGAUCGCGCUGAAGGCGGCGAGCAAGAUAAGGGCCAGGGAAGACUUCGCGGCGUACGUGGUGCUGCCGAUGUGGCCGGCGGCGGAGGGGCCGCCUGGGUCGGCGCCGGCUCAGGAGUCCCUCUUCUGGCAGGCGCAGACGAUGCAGGCGAUGUACGAGGUGGUCGCGAAGGCGAUCGCGGAGGCCGGGGCCGGCGUCAGAGCGCACCCGCAGGACUAUCUCAACUUCUACUGCCUCGGCAACCGCGAACAGGCACCGGCAACGCCCCCGCAUCUGGAGACGGGGACGAGCCCGGCGGCGCUAGCGCGGAGGCACGGGCGGUUCAUGGUGUACGUGCACUCGAAGGGAAUGGUCGUGGACGACGAGUACGUGCUCCUCGGCUCCGCCAAUGUUAACCAGCGCUCCCUCUCUGGUUCCCGCGACACCGAGAUAGCCGUCGGCGCGCACCAGCCGCACCACACUGGUCGGCGGCCGCGCGGGCAGGUGCACCGGUACAGGAUGUCGCUCUGGGAGGAGCACCUGGGCUGGCUGUGGGAUGUGCUGGAGGCGCCGGAGUCGCCGGAGUGCGUGAGGCUGGUGAACCAGGUGGCCCGGGAGAACUGGGAGAGGUACACGGACGAGGGGGAGGUGGCAGAGGAGAUGCAGGGGCACCUGAUGAAGUAUCCGGUGGAGGUGGACGGCUACGGCGGUGUGUGGCCGCUGACGGGGCACGAGUUCUUCCCCGACGUCGGCGGCAGGGUCCUCGGCUCCACCAACAAGUUUCCCGAUCAUCUCACCAUGUAG
rnacentral:rRNA from 1 species